GCGGAAGUGGCGGAAUUGGUAGACGCACCAGAUUUAGGUUCUGGCGCCGCAGGGUGUGAGAGUUCAAGUCUCUCCUUCCGCACCA
rnacentral:tRNA from 1 species